rnacentral:SRP_RNA from 1 species
GCCGGGGAGUUAGCGGUGCCCUGUACCUGCAAUCCGCUACAGCAGGGGUGAUAUUCUGCCGAGGACUCUUCAUUGUGGGGCUGCCCUUUGUAAGUGGCGUUGAUGUCUUGGUCUUACGCAACGGGAAUUUGUGAACCGUGUCAGGUCGGGAACGAAGCAGCACUAAGCAAAACCUUCCGUGUGCCGUAGGGGUGCCUGGGCUGAGUUAACUGCAAAGGUAACGUCCAUGAUGUGUUUUCGAAGCAGGAUGCGCG